rnacentral:rRNA from 1 species
GAUGAACGCUGGCGGCGUGCCUAAUACAUGCAAGUCGAGCGAAUGGAUUAAGAGCUUGCUCUUAUGAAGUUAGCGGCGGACGGGUGAGUAACACGUGGGUAACCUGCCCAUAAGACUGGGAUAACUCCGGGAAACGGGGGCUAAUACCGGAUACCAUUUUGAACCGCAUGGUUCGAAAUUGAAAGGCGGCUUCGGCUGUCACUUAUGGAUGGAUCCGCGUCGCAUUAGCUAGUUGGUGAGGUAACGGCUCACCAAGGCAACGAUGCGUAGCCGACCUGAGAGGGUGAUCGGCCACACUGGGACUGAGACACGGCCCAGACUCCUACGGGAGGCAGCAGUAGGGAAUCUUCCGCAAUGGACGAAAGUCUGACGGAGCAACGCCGCGUGAGUGAUGAAGGCUUUCGGGUCGUAAAACUCUGUUGUUAGGGAAGAACAAGUGCUAGUUGAAUAAGCUGGCACCUUGACGGUACCUAACCAGAAAGCCACGGCUAACUACGUGCCAGCCGCCGCAGUAA